UACAGAGGUCUCAAGCGUUGUUCGGAAUCACUGGGCGUAAAGGGUGCGUAGGCCGCACGGUAAGUCAGAGGUGAAAUCCCGGAGCUCAACUCCGGAAUGGCCUCCGAUACUGCCGUGCUCGAGGACUGGAGAGGAGAUUGGAAUUCACAGUGGAGCAGUGAAAUGCGUAGAUAUUGUGAGGAACACUAGUGGCGAAGGCGAAUCUCUGGACAGUUCCUGACGCUGAGGCACGAAGGCCAGGGGAGCAAACAGG
rnacentral:rRNA from 1 species